GUGCUUGCUUUAGCUGUACGUAUACUAAAACUGGAACAAUACAGAGAGUAUCAGCAUGGCCCCUGCACAAGGAUGACAUGCAAAUUUGUGAAGCACUGUAUAUUUUU